UAUUAAAAAUUUCAUCCAUUUGUACUGUAAAAAAUUGACGUGAUUGACAAAAUAAUCAAAAGUGACAUGUACUGUGCCAUGUGUACCCCAUGUUGGCAUAUAGGGACUAAUUUUUAACAAUAAGAUGGAUGUAAUUUUUAACA
rfam:Gossypium raimondii Chr05_contig_448, whole genome shotgun sequence.